ensembl:processed_transcript
UACGUUUGUAGUUAUAUUGCCUGCAAUAUUCAGUUUUUUCAUUAUUCACUUACCAACUAUAGGAUUCAAGUACCUCUGUGGUGCGGAAGAGAGACGUGGCUCUGAGAUGCCUCAUUGAAUACAUGGGAGAGAGUGGGCAAAAGCUGAUCUCUGACUACUAUAUGUGGUGGGCAUCAUCAUUGAGGGCAUCCCUGUGCUUACUCGUCUUGGAAACCACGCCAGGGCUAUGAACUUGCAGUAUCCACCACAACUCAGCAAAACAUUUCAGGUGUUUCAAAGACAUUUUGUGGGACUUGACACACUGCGUCCAAAGUCUUCCUCCUGAUUCAUGACACAAAAACUUCUGAGUUAGUUAAUUAGUUGCCGCUCAGAGGUUCUGUUUCUUUGCUUCAUCACUAUUGUUCAAUGGACAGUUUGACUUGGAACAAUGUGGUAGUCACGCACCGACUUCUUCAGUUUCUGGAUAAGUCUGCAGCAAAUAUGGGCAUUUGAUUUGCUUUUGUAUAUAUGGGGCAAAGUUUGUUUUGUUAUGUCAAAUGCUGAGAUCAGAGGCACUUUAUUUUUUUUAUUUCAAUGUUGUAGUACAUAUGAAAAUGUACUGUACUGUGUACACAACAGGCAUCAGUUGGACACCUCAAACCCCCAUGAGGAUCCACACACACACACGCUCAGUUUUAAUGGGUAAAGUUUAGAAGGGAUACAGCUGCAGAUACUCGCAUCAUUCAUUCAUUUUCCUUCAGCUUAGUCCUUCAUUUAUCAGGGGUUGCCACAGCGAAAUGAGCCACCAACUACUCUG